AACGAACGCUGGCGGCAUGCCUAACACAUGCAAGUCGAACGAGACCUUCGGGUCUAGUGGCGCACGGGUGCGUAACGCGUGGGAACCUGCCCUUAGGUUCGGAAUAACUCCCCGAAAGGGGUGCUAAUACCGGAUAAUGUCUUCGGACCAAAGAUUUAUCGCCUUUGGAUGGGCCCGCGUUGGAUUAGCUAGUUGGUAGGGUAAAAGCCUACCAAGGCGACGAUCCAUAGCUGGUCUGAGAGGAUGAUCAGCCACACUGGGACUGAGACACGGCCCAGACUCCUACGGGAGGCAGCAGUGGGGAAUAUUGGACAAUGGGCGAAAGCCUGAUCCAGCAAUGCCGCGUGAGUUAUUAAGGCCUUAGGGUUGUAAAGCUCUUUUACCCGGGAUGAUAAUGACAGUACCGGGAGAAUAAGCUCCGGCUAACUCCGUG
rnacentral:rRNA from 1 species